rnacentral:rRNA from 1 species
AUGAAUCGAUGCGGUUUCCAUCUACUCUUCCUCCAUGUCGUCCACAUCUCCGCCGUCCUGCAUGAUCUUCAUCUUCUUCACGGCGUGCGCCGCAUCGCCCCCGACAGCUCCGUUAGGGACCUGGAUGAGGAUAUCGGACUUGUGGCCCGUGCGCGCGUUCACCAGCCCCCCGUGCUUGUCGACGCCAUAGGUCAGCUCGUCCUUGCUGGGCGCGGCGUCGAUGUACACCGUGGAAUUCUCGUCGAUCUCCUCGCGGAUCAACAUCUUUCAUCUGAAGCCGGGCGACCUUCCGCAGCUGCUCGUGCGACAGAGGGUCAUGAUGAUCACGGUGUUCCUGAAGUCCACCGUCCUGCCUUGCCCGUCGGUCAACCGCCCGUCGUCCAGGACCUGGAGCAGAGUGUUGAAUACCGCCACAUGCGCCUUCUCAACCUCGUCGAAGAGGAUGACACUGUAUGGCCUCCUCCUCACUUGCUCCGUCAGCUGCCCUCCUUCCUCAUGACCAACGUAACUGCAAAUUCACAGCAAGUUCACAAGUCAGAAAUUGCAUAUGAUGCACAUCCAUGGUGGUGA